GACGAACGCUGGCGGCGUGCUUAACACAUGCAAGUCGAACGGUGAAGCCCUUCGCGGUAUGCGGGUUGCGGACGAGUGGGUAACUCGUGGGUGAGUAGCCAGCCACUUUCUCAUAAGUCCGGGAGACCGGCUCGAAUUAAUACCAUAUACGUGGGCUUCAUGGUCGGUGGCGGAAUGCUUUUGCGGUGUUUGUUGGGUCGGCGGGCGAUCAGCUUGUUGGUGGGGUAAUGGCUGACCAAGGCGACGACGGGUAGCCGGCCUGAGAGGGUGACCGGCCACACUGGGACUGAGACACGGCCCAGACUCCUACGGGAGGGAGCAGUGGGGAAUAUUGCACAAUGGGCGCAAGCCUGAUGCAGCGACGCCGCGUGAGGGAUGACGGCCUUCGGGUUGUAAACCUCUUUCAGCACGGAUGAAGCGAAAGUGACGGUAUCUGCAGAAGAAGCACCGGCUAACUACGUG
rnacentral:rRNA from 1 species